GGUGGCUCAGUGGUAGAGCUCUUGCCUUGCAUGCAUGAGGCCCUGGGUUCAAUUCCUCAGUACCA
rfam:Dipodomys ordii contig_62051, whole genome shotgun sequence.